UACGUAGGGUGCGAGCGUUGUCCGGAAUUAUUGGGCGUAAAGGGCUCGUAGGCGGUUUGUCACGUCGGGAGUGAAAACUCAGGGCUUAACCCUGAGCCUGCUUUCGAUACGGGCAGACUAGAGGUAUGCAGGGGAGAACGGAAUUCCCGGUGUAGCGGUGAAAUGCGCAGAUAUCGGGAGGAACACCGGUGGCGAAGGCGGUUCUCUGGGCCGUUACUGACGCUGAGGAGCGAAAGCGUGGGGAGCGAACAGG
rnacentral:rRNA from 1 species